rnacentral:rRNA from 1 species
CGCACGGGUGAGUAACACGUGAGUGACCUGCCUUUUAGACUGGAACAACUUACCGAAAGGUGAGCUAAUGCCGGAUGAGUUAUAUAAGUGCAUGUUUAUAUAGGAAAAGUUGGGGAGACCUGACGCUGAAAGAUGGACCCGCGUCCCAUUAGCUAGUUGGUAGGGUAAUGGCCUACCAAGGCGACGAUGGGUAGCCGGCCUGAGAGGGUGGCCGGCCACACUGGGACUGAGACACGGCCCAGACUCCUACGGAAGGCAGCAG